rnacentral:rRNA from 1 species
AUACGGAGGGUGCGAGCGUUAAUCGGAAUUACUGGGCGUAAAGCGUACGUAGGCGGUUGGUUAAGUUAGAUGUGAAAGCCCCGGGCUUAACCUGGGAACUGCAUUUAAAACUGGCGAACUAGAGUUGAGUAGAGGGGAGUGGAAUUUCAGGUGUAGCGGUGAAAUGCGUAGAGAUCUGAAGGAACACCAGUGGCGAAGGCGACUCCCUGGACUCGAACUGACGCUGAGGUACGAAAGCGUGGGUAGCAAACGGGAUUAGAUACCCCUGUAGUCC